GUGCAGCAGGCGCGAAAACUUCACACUGUGCGAAAGCACGAUGAGGGAAUCCCAAGUGCUUGCACGUAAGUGUAAGCUGUUUCUCUGUCUAAAACGCAGAGAGAGUAAGGGCUGGGUAAGACGGGUGCCAGCCGCCGCGGUAAUACCUGCAGCUCAAGUGGUGACCGUUAUUAUUGGGCCUAAAACGUCCGUAGCCGGUUUAAUAAAUGCCUGGGUAAAUUGUGUAGCUUAACUAUACGAAUUCCGGGUAGACUGUUAAACUUGAGACCGGGAGAAGUUAGAGGUACUCCUGGGGUAGAGGUGAAAAUUCUGUAAUCCUAGGGGGACCACCAGUGGCGAAGGCGUCUAACUAGAACGGGUCUGACGGUGAGGGACGAAGCCCUGGGGCGC
rnacentral:rRNA from 1 species